UUGUCUAAAUAAUCACAUUUAAGAUUAAGUUCUUACUGUCUAAAUUGUGUGCAUGUGUAAUUUUAUUGUACAGGUACAUAUUAAUAUAUGGUCAUACAGGUCGCUACAGUGUGACUUGAUUUGAUAUUAAUACACCUAGAUGAUAAUACAAUAUGAAAAGCUUAAAGGCCUAAACUAUCCAUAUCCCCCCAAACACAUGCACGCACGCACGCACACAGAUAUUUUCAUCCCUAAAAUGACGGUAAGAACGCAGCAGCACAGAGCUGUUGUGUAAGACGAAAAGAAAGGGAGGACAUCAUCCAAAGGAUGAAAGCCGACACCCUCUCCCCAAAACUCUUCCAUGGCAACUGAGGUGUGAGGACAAACACAAGGCCAGAGAGACGGAGACAGAGACUGGAAACAUCUGUUACCCAUGAGCCGGUCUGAUAAUUGACCAGGUGAGAAUAAUGUGACUCAGCAACCGUAUCCGGGGCACAAACACCUCUGUCUGUGAUUCACACGGGCCGAGUUUCAGACCGCACACACAUUACAUAAUGCAUUACUACCGCCCGAACGAGAAACCGAUACGGGACCCCUGUUGAGUUCUGCCCCCGUCUGAUGCAGUAAUCUAACUCCUGGAACACCUUAUGAUGUGCAUUUGUCUCUUCGUGACUUACUGUACUUCCAUUUGAAAACACUCUGAUCGUUGAUUUUCUGCGUCAAUCAUCCGUUUCCAUUCUUUAAUCAUAUCCCCCGUUUACUUGGCCGUUUGCAAAGAGUGUUGCGAGUGCAAGCAGGAAGUUACAGACGCUCUGCAGCAGCACCAGAACGUAGAAGGCAUCAGGUCGACAUUGCCUUUUCCUUUUAAUAUCUCCAUGCACAGCUGGCCUGCGUGGGGAAGUCUCCCGCUCUCUGUGGAAAUGCGUCAGCGGCAGUUUAUCUUGUCUUUGUUCUCAGACAGUACAUUAUUAACUGGGUCUUUUUCAUUUGCAGUUGCAACAUCAGCCGUCUACAAGUGCGACUGAGCUUCCCAGGGGAUUCCCCUGGAUUAAAACUCCCACACACUCCUCGCUGCCAUGGGAAAAUUGUAGCGUAAGAUGUUACUGCAGCGAUGGCCCUCGAUCGGAUGGGAGCAGCGUCCCUUCUCCUCCUCCUCCUGCUUCAGAUGCGCCAUACCGUUUCAUCCGCAGCGUUGCCGGAGCAACCGUACCCGGACGUGUGGCUGACGGGAUUCGAGCCGAUUGUGAUUGACGGGCAGCCGGUGGAGCCCGCCUGUAAGAUCAUCCCUAUCGGCGAAACAACCCUCGCGCCCCCCACUGCGCCCC